CCUCAGAUGACCCCUCGGAACAGGAAGGAGAUCGACGCGCCAAGGGCAAGACCAAGAGACAUGAAGAAGGCCAUGAUGGCUCCAGCUGUCUCUGCCUCGUGUGCAUCCACUAGCCUGAAGACAGAGAAGGGAAAGGGCAGAGAAAAUGACACGCUGCAAUCUUUUAAGACAAAAACAGAGGCAGAAAUUUCUCUCACACACACUUCAGCUUACCCCAAAGUCCUCCUUUAGCAAUGGUGGAUUUGACGUCCACGGCGACGGCGGGAAACAUGCCGAUGGUGAUGGUGAAGGCAAAGCACACAGACAGAGCCAUCACCCAG